AAAGCUUUAAGUUAAGUAAACUAGUAACCUUCAAAGUUAAAAAUAAAACCCAUUAAGCUUUG
rnacentral:tRNA from 1 species